rnacentral:rRNA from 1 species
UACAGAGGGUGCAAGCGUUAAUCGGAAUUACUGGGCGUAAAGCGUGCGUAGACGGUUAUGUAAGUCAGAUGUGAAAGCCCAGGGCUCAACCUUGGAAUUGCAUUUGAGACUGCAUAGCUAGGGUGCGGAAGAGGGAAGCGGAAUUUCCGGUGUAGCGGUGAAAUGCGUAGAUAUCGGAAAGAACACCAGUGGCGAAAGCGGCUUCCUGGUCCCAGCAC